CUGAAGCCACGCCCACACACCGAGCAGAUGAAGGGGUUGUCACCCGAGUGUGACCAGCUGUGCUGUAGCAGCGAGGCUUUCCGGCAAAAGCCCCUCCCACACUCGGGACACACGAAGGGCUUUUUAUCCAGGGGUGCCCGCACUCCGAACACGAGUAAGGCUUCUCCACUCCGUCCAUUCUCUGGAGCUUCAUGAGGUCAGAACUCUGGCAAAAGCCCCCUCCGCAGUCAGGAAACACGUGGUGCUUCUGAGGGCUGAACAGGUUUGUGACAUCAUCAAGCCCUAGCGGAAAUGCUCCAUGUAGGACGGCCCCAGAUGCUGACUCAUCGGGUCCCUUCAACACUGUGACUGCCUCCUCAGGGGCCAGGCCAAGGUCUGUUUGUUUACUGUCGCCUUCUACCCAGUAUGCUGCCUGAUCUUGACAUGGGCUAAAGAACGUCUUCAGAAUUCUCGUUGGACUUGUCCUCUGCAACAGAGCAUCGCUGCUGUCUCUCUCUUCACCUCCUUCAUUGCUGGAACAGCCUGGAGCUUCUGACUGGAAGUUGCUCCCUGCUGGUCUAUCUUCCACACUCUACUGAAAACGGCCUUCCCACAGCUCUGAAAGGAAAACUAAAACACUGAAAAGCCUUAUGGGUAAUGUAUGCUCUGAAGUGACUAAGUUUCAAGUCAUCCCCCAAAUGGGAGAGGCAGUACCAAAUAAUGUCAAGAGGUCCAUCUGUGGUAUUCAACUGAAUGCUCCCUCAUCCAGAAAGCAAACCAAGAAAAUAAGCUGGGAUUCUCUUAUCAGAAAAUGGGGAUUCGGCAAUGAAGCAGGAUGUCAUGGACUCCAACUAUAAGCCCUUAAAGAAAUCUGAUUCUUGAGACCGAAUUAAUCCCUGCUCGUUGAAUGGACUUCUUGACAAUUACUAAUGCUGUUCCUCGUGGCUGCCCAAAGCUUUGGUACCCAGAGCUGGACACCAAAGGUCCUACUGUGGUCAGCUUCUCAUCAGGAAAUGUGUUCUAAACUGGCUCGCUAGACUCUGAUUUGCUCUGGUCUCACAGUUGUUCAGGUUGACCUUGAACUCAUUCUAUAACCAGGCUGCCAUUCUUGCUGUUCUCCUACCUCAGCCAAGUGAUAAAUUCACAGUCCUGCAUCCACCAGGCCCUCCUCUCUUGUUUCAACAAAAGACUCUUGGGGAAAAUACACAGACGAAGGAGAAGUCCUCAACAGCUUUAAGGUCCGAAGUUCCCUAAGCUCUUUAUGCUGCGUUUCCUCCAGGUCACUUAGCAGACAGACAACUUAAGGGUAGGUCGGCAGCUGAAAAUAUCACCGCGGUCUCCAGCCACUGAGCAUCGGCUGUUUCUUUCUACAGUGUCUUCCAGUUCCGACUAGACUCCAUCAUUCUUCAGACACUGGUUCUGACUGCCUCGGUCAGCUCACUGCUUUCUUGAUGGGAAGACCUGGAUUUCUCUUUUAUGACAUUUUCAUUACAUACUCUUUUUUAACUGUUAUAUUCAUAUAAAAUAUCCACAGUUAAAUCCAUACAAUACAAAUUACAUUAGUUGUCUUAGAUAUUGUUCUAUGGUGGUAAAGAGACGCCACGACCACGGCAACUCUUACUAAGAAGAACAUUUAAUUGUGGCUGGCUUACAGGGUCAGCAGUUCAGCCCCUUGUAGUCAUCAUGGGAAGCAUGGUGGCCCACAGACAGACACGGUGCUGGAGAGAUAGCCAGACCUCCAUCCAGAUCAGCAGACAGCAGGAAGAGAGAGAGAAACUGGGCCUGGCUUGAACAUUUGAAACCUCAAAGUCCACCCACAGUGACACACUUCCUCCAACGAAGCCAUACCUACUCCAACAAACUCA
rnacentral:lncRNA from 1 species